rnacentral:misc_RNA from 1 species
AGCUGCUCUAAUGAUCUCAUCUCAUCUCACGAACGACCGCCGCCACCAGACCUGGAAGGCUCUCAUCAGGUCCGGGCACUCCCGGCCGUGGCUGCCGAAAGCCCCGAACCACUCCAAGAACAGCGCCUGCUGCUGCUCCAGCGUGAGCGUCAGCAGCGCCUGCCCGAUCCCUUCCUCCAGGGCCGUCACGUUCAGGCCCUUGGGGUACCUCCGGAGCCAACUGAAGUCCGCCAGCAUCGGCCUGAACCAGGCCUGGAAGACGCCGAACCGUCUGGCUCCGGCGCACUGGAGCCUGCCGCUCCCCAUGGCGAUGAAGACCGUGGCCGAGAUCCGGCUCAGCUCGUGGCGCACCAUCGGCGACGCCCGUCCGUGCACGCCGCUGAGGCUCGUUUGGUCGGCCCACAGCUCGACGAACUCCUCCCCCAUCUGCCUGUCGAUCAGAAUCUGCAGCAGCCAGUUGAUGUCCUCGACUAGCCUGUAGAUGCUCUCAGUCUCAGGUGGCGGUACUCCUCCUCUUCCAACUGAUGGCAAGGACGUCUGAUCCGGCCCCGGGGAUUCUCCUCCCAGCAAUCGCGCCAGAGAGUUCAGGCACGAAUGGCAGAUGCGCUCUUUCCGGGCGUUGUUGUUGGUCCCCUUCGUGAUGGAGUCGGCCAGUUCAACGACCAGUUCUGCUUCUGCCGACGAGGCAGGCCUCUCGGCGGGCUGCAGCCUCGCCGCCAGCAGGUUUCUCAAAGCUGCAUUGUACGAAGGAUGCUGAGACAUCAGCCUCUUGAUUGUCUCCUCUUCAGAUUCGCUCCACGGAACAGCGUCCAGGUACCUUACACAGCUCUUAACCCCUCUGUCAAACACGAGUGACAAUGAUACCUGAGAAAUUUGUUUACUCGUCAAGUCAAACAUGUUGAGAAUAGAGUUAGCAUAAAACCACUACACAUUUUCAGACAACUUGGUAAGUUAACAGGCAUACAAAGAGUAAAAUUUGAGCACAAAUCAACAAGAAGUAGCAGCGUAAAUAUAACAGCGGAGAGCUCACCUCGAGCACGUCGAUGGCUCGCGCGACACCACCACGAGCGAGCCGCCUCAUCUCAGCGGCCUCGUCUCCGUCUUCCAACAUCAUGUCCACCGCUUCCCUGAAGGCCUCCACCUCCACCAUCCCUUCCACCGUCAACUCGCCGCCUAGUUCCCCAACAACCUUCCUCACCACCUCGCUCUCCCCGCGCACCCUCUCCAACUCAUUCACCUCCAAGAUCACGCCUUUGUCGACCAGCCUCAGGUUCAGAAUUUCCCUCGGCUUCUCCA